rnacentral:rRNA from 1 species
AAGGUUUCCGUAGGUGAACCUGCGGAAGGAUCAUUACCGAAUUGUCAACACGAGUUGUUGCUGGUCCUCAAAUGGGGGCAUGUGCACACUCUGUUUGCACAUCCACUCACACCUGUGCACCCUCCAUAGUUCUGCAGCCUGGGGGCUCUGUCCCCCCUGCUGUGGCUCUAUGUAUUUACACACACACACUGUGAUAAAGUCUUAUGGAAUGUAUGCCGCGUUUAACGCAAUACAAUACAACUUUCAGCAACGGAUCUCUUGGCUCUCGCAUCGAUGAAGAACGCAGCGAAAUGCGAUAAGUAAUGUGAAUUGCAGAAUUCAGUGAAUCAUCGAAUCUUUGAACGCACCUUGCGCCCUUUGGCUAUUCCRAAGGGCAUGCCUGUUUGAGUAUCAUGAACACCUCAACUCUCAUGGCUUGCCAUGACGAGCUUGGACUUUGGGGGUCUUGCCGGCCUGCGGUCGGCUCCUCUCAAAUGAAUCAGCUUACCAGUGUUUGGUGGCAUCACAGGUGUGAUAACUAUCUACGCUUGUGGUUUUCCACCAGGUAACCUUCAGUGAUGGAGGUUUGCUGGGGCUCAUAAAUGUCUCUCCUCAGUGAGGACAGCUCUUUGAACAUUUGAUCUCAAAUCAGGUAGGACUACCCGCUGAACUUAAGCAUAUCAAUAAGCGGAGGAAAAGAAACUAACAAGGAUUCCCCUAGUAACUGCGAGUGAAGCGGGAAGAGCUCAAAUUUAAAAUCU